rnacentral:lncRNA from 1 species
CUGAGCUAGAAACAUUAGUGGUUUCAGAUGAAGAAGCAAUUUCUUCAGAACCCAUUGUUGUUAAAGCACUAAAAAACGAAUCUUUAGUACUGGGUAAGCAAUAAAUUGGGUUUUUGUCUCUCUAAUUUAUCUGGGUUGUUGUUGCAUCUACCAUGUUAGGAAUUCUGCUACAACAUAAGUGAGUCAGAAAAUGGGGAUGAAUAAUUUAUAUUUUUUUCACCUAAAAAAUAAAAAAUUAGUAUUUUAUAAAAUGGAUUGAGUUGCGUCAAAAAAAUAAAAAUAAAAAAAUGGAUUGAGUUGAAUUUGUGGAUCAAUGAAAGACAAAUCGGAGAAUUUGUUAAGCCUACUAUCUAUCUCUGUUCUCUAUCUCCGACCAGUAUGUAACAGAGAUCCUCCGACAGAACCGAAAUACGUACUUACGUUAUUAAAAAACGAA